GUUGAAACAGAGGUUCCCGUACGAUCACUGAAGUUAAACAAUGUCGUGUCGGGUCAGUACCUAGAUGGGGGACCACUUUGGAAUACCAGGUACUGUAA